UCCGCAGGGGGUUUGUCAAGUCUGAUGUGAAAGCCUGAGGCUCAACCUUGGAAUUGCAUUGGAUACUGGCGGACUAGAGUGUGCGAGGGGUGAGCGGAAUUCCUGGUGUAGCGGUGGAAUGCGUAGAUAUCAGGAAGAACACCGAUGGCGAAGGCGGCUCACUGGCGCAUCACUGACCCUCAUGGACGAAAGCGUGGGGAGCAAACA
rnacentral:rRNA from 1 species